rnacentral:rRNA from 1 species
CAAUAGCGUAUAUUAAAGUUGUUGCAGUUAAAAAGCUCGUAGUUGGAUUUGUGGCGUACGGUGUGUUCCGGGCACUUGUUGUCUGAGUAACCUGCUGUUGCCAUCCUUGGGUGGAACCUGUGUGGCAUUAGGUUGUCGUGCAAGGGAUGCCCAUCAUUUACUGUGAAAAAAUUAGAGUGUUCAAAGCAGGCUUAUGCCGUUGAAUAUAUUAGCAUGGAAUAAUGAGAUAGGACUUUUUUGCUAUUUUGUUGGUUUGCGCAAAGAGGUAAUGAUUAAUAGGGACAGUUGGGGGUAUUCGUAUUCCAUUGUCAGAGGUGAAAUUCUUGGAUUUUUGGAAGACGAACUACUGCGAAAGCAUUUACCAAGGAUGUUUUCAUUAA